UUGAUCCUGGCAGCAGUCGUUGGCAAAACUUAAAGCAAUCGUGUUCUCUUAUACAAGACUAAUUAGGAUCAUCUUGUAGUGAUUUCCCAUGAUGUAGCAGGCUUGUGUCCUCUGCUGGCUGCAUCUCACUUGGUAUGAAGCAUGAAAGUGACCAAGAGCGACAAUGAAAUGUAUGAUUUAGGAGUGGCCUUUUGCAAGUUGCAGAAAUAACUGAAUUGUCUAAACCCCUCUGGAUGACAGACAACAGCAACAUAAACAACAAAAAAUGCCUGAAAUGAAGGCCCUGGAAUGGGGAAAUCAACAGACCGCUCAGAGUCACACCUGAGGAUGCAUAGGACAGCCAAAGGUGCCCAAGCUACGCAGGGUUUUUUUGUUCAACUCAACUGUCAUUUCUGCAUGUGCCACAUGAUAUCUUUGACUCACUGCCUCCUACGCUGCAGGAUCAGAAAGCUGACGUGGAGAAAGGGGAGAACGUGUGCCCUCAUCCUUCUUGACAGGGGAAAGCACUGAGACUGCAAGGAAUCUCUGAACUGAGGAGAACAGCACACAUCCUGCCCUCCAGAGAAGUUAAACUCCGCUGUUGCGGCCCGUGCUGAACCCUUAGCUUCCAGUGGAAGAGCUGGGGAUCUCCCAGCAAGUCAGCAUCCGCUAAAAGGGAACUAACAUCCUACAGUCAGGUAUGGUGCAGUGCUCCUGUUCUUGCUGUAGAGGCCCUAUUAUUCUGAAAGUCUGAUAAGCCCAGCAUCAUGCAGGACUGCCCUGGAAAGCC
rnacentral:lncRNA from 1 species